AAAAAAUCUGAUCCCAUUAUCAUGAUUUACGAAUCAUGAAAAUUAUAAAUUGCUCUUGGGACGAAAUCAUGAUUCAGACUCAUGAUUUUUGAAGCUGAGCUACCACUAUCAUGAUUCAGAGCAACCAUUUUCAUGAGCUCCAAAUCAUGACCAUGAAAAGCGUUACGCACACGGUGCACCUGUCAAAACGUGUUUAGCAAAGCUUGUGCAAAGCAUAGUUGGCUGCGCAUUCACGGAAAAGUUGCCCUUUUUUUAAAAAAAAGUUCACUUUUAUUGCCGGUUUCCUGCGCCGCUGUUGCUCUACUGUCGUUCCUGCUCUACUAUUCCGUUCCUGCUCCGUUGAUAUCGGGCUAUUCCGGCUCUGCAGAACUACUGGUAAGUGAAAAAAAACGCAUGCAAUUCAAUACAAAUGCUGACAAUUUUCCACCGUCUUCUCUGUUUAGCCGUUUCAUUCUGUUCCUUUCCUGCCGUGGCUGUUGCCCGUUCCGGCUCCUGUGUACCCGUUCCGGCUCCGCAUUGAGGGAAAAUUCUUCCGGCUCCGCUCUACUAACUACCGCCGUUUUAUUGUCCCAGUGCCACUGUCGCCAUUCCGGCCGCGGCUGUUGUCGUCCAAUAGGUGCAUCCGUUCCGGCUCCGCAUUGAGUGACCAGCUCCGCCCUACCAACUACCGCUCCCGAUUUUGUUGCCGUUCCGGACGAUUCGUUUUCAGCCUUGGCUGGUUCCGCCCAGUAGGUGUUCCCGUUCCGACUUCCCCCACAACUACCGAACGCAGGUGAUAUAGAAGGGAGGAUCGAGCGGCGACUGAACCAUCUCCGCGAAAAAUUUGGGGAAUCAUCGCUUCAACCUCAAAUUGUCGCAGUGGGCACGAGCAACUCAACAAAAGCAACGAUGGUUAUUUUUGGCGGCGCGGAGUAUAUCGCAGAUAAUAUUGUGCAUGCUGUAUGCAUUUGUAUGCAUAUCACUUAUGUGCUAAAUUUGCGUUAUACUCCGGACUGCAAACCGCUGUGGCUCUUUGUUCAGUCAUACCUGUUCAAAAUCCCGGCGUCCAUUAUUGAGCUCCCGAAGAGCACACGUGAUUUGCUAAAAGGUAUAGAUAAUUAAACUGGAAGAUCGUUUUUUUUCUUAAAAUAAUCUUUUUUCAAGUGAAAAGAAUAGAAUAAAUGAAUUAAACUCAAAACCCCAAAAUAUGUUUUAAAUAAAUGUUGUACUCACAAAUAGCUUAAGGUGAAGGUGCAGUGCGUUUACUUUCAAAACUAUGCAUUUUGCCUCGCGUUUUCUCGAGCACCAAUCUGAAA